UGGGGAAUAUUGCACAAUGGGGGGAACCCUGAUGCAGCCAUGCCGCGUGAAUGAAGGAGGCCUUCGGGUUGUAAAGUUCUUUCGGUGACGAGGAAGGUUGAUAGGUUAAUAGUCUAUCAAAUUGACGUUAAUCACAGAAGAAGCACCGGCUAACUCCGUGCCAGCAGCCGCGGUAAUACGGGGGGUGCAAGCGUUAAUCGGAAUAACUGGGCGUAAAGGGCACGCAGGCGGUGACUUAAGUGAGAUGUGAAAGCCCCGAGCUUAACUUGGGAAUUGCAUUUCAUACUGGGUCGCUAGAGUACUUUAGGGAGGGGUAGAAUUCCACGUGUAGCGGUGAAAUGCGUAGAGAUGUGGAGGAAUACCGAAGGCGAAGGCAGCCCCUUGGGAAUGUACUGACGCUCAUGUGCGAAAGCGUGGGGAGCAAACAGGAUUAGAUACCCUGGUAGUCCACGCUGUAAACGAUGUCGAUUUGGGGAUUGGGCUUUGAGCUUGGUGCCCGUAGCUAACGUGAUAAAUCGACCGCCUGGGGAGUACGGCCGCAAGGUUA
rnacentral:rRNA from 1 species